GGGCUUAUGGCGCAACGGUAGCGCGUUCGACUCCAGCUACCACAAGUGCAAUCGAAAGGUUAUCCGUUCAAAUCGGGUUAGGCUCA